rnacentral:rRNA from 1 species
AGGGGGAUAACACUUGGGAAACAGGUGCUAAUACCGCAUAACAGUUUAUGCCGCAUGGCAUAAGAGUGAAAGGCGCUUUCGGGUGUCGCUGAUGGAUGGACCCGCGGCUGCAUUAGCUAGUUGGUGAGGUAACGGCUCACCAAGGCCACGAUGCAUAGCCGACCUGAGACGGGGACCAACUCUACUGGGACUGAGACACGGCCCAGACUCCUACGGGAGGCAGCAGUAGGGAAUCUUCGGCAAUGGACGAAAGUCUGACCGAGCAACGCCGCGUGAGUGAAGAAGGUUUUCGGAUCGUAAAACUCUGUUGUUAGAGAAGAACAAGGACGUUAGUAACUGAACGUCCCCUGACGGUAUCUAACCAGAAAGCCACGGCUAACUACGUGCCAGCAGCCGCGGUAAUACGUAGGUGGCAAGCGUUGUCCGGAUUUAUUGGGCGUAAAGCGAGCGCAGGCGGUUUCUUAAGUCUGAUGUGAAAGCCCCCGGCUCAACCGGGGAGGGUCAUUGGAAACUGGGAGACUUGAGUGCAGAAGAGGAGAGUGGAAUUCCAUGUGUUAGCGGGUGAAAUGCGUAGA